UAGCUAGUUGGUGAGGUAAAGGCUUACCAAGGCGACGAUCUGUAGCGGGUCUGAGAGGAUGAUCCGCCACACUGGAACUGAGACACGGUCCAGACUCCUACGGGAGGCAGCAGUGGGGAAUUUUGGACAAUGGGGGCAACCCUGAUCCAGCCAUGCCGCGUGAGUGAAGAAGGCCUUCGGGUUGUAAAGCUCUUUCGGCCGGGAAGAAAUCGCAUGGGCCAAUACCCUGUGUGGAUGACGGUACCGGAAUAAGAAGCACCGGCUAACUACGUGCCAGCAGCCGCGGUAAUACGUAGGGUGCGAGCGUUAAUCGGAAUUACUGGGCGUAAAGCGUGCGCAGGCGGUUUUGUAAGACAGGCGUGAAAUCCCCGGGCUUAACCUGGGAACUGCGUUUGUGACUGCAAGGCUAGAGUACGGCAGAGGGGGGUGGAAUUCCACGUGUAGCAGUGAAAUGCGUAGAGAUGUGGAGGAACACCAAUGGCGAAGGCAGCCCCCUGGGUCGAUACUGACGCUCAUGCACGAAAGCGUGGGUAGCAAACAGGAUUAGAUACCCUGGUAGUCCACGCCCUAAACUAUGUCAACUAGGUGUUGGGUGGGUAAAACCAUUUAGUACCGUAGCUAACGCGUGAAGUUGACCGCCUGGGGAGUACGGCCGCAAGGUUAAAACUCAAAGGAAUUGACGGGGACCCGCACAAGCGGUGGAUGAUGUGGAUUAAUUCGAUGCAACGCGAAAAACCUUACCUACCCUUGACAUGCCAGGAACUUGCCAGAGAUGGCUUGGUGCCCGAAAGGGAGCCUGGACACAGGUGCUGCAUGGCUGUCGUCAGCUCGUGUCGUGAGAUGUUGGGUUAAGUCCCGCAACGAGCGCAACCCUUGUCGUUAAUUGCCAUCAUUUGGUUGGGCACUUUAACGAGACUGCCGGUGACAAACCGGAGGAAGGUGGGGAUGACGUCAAGUCCUCAUGGCCCUUAUGGGUAGGGCUUCACACGUCAUACAAUGGUCGGUACAAAGGGUUGCCAAGCCGCGAGGCGGAGCCAAUCCCAGAAAGCCGAUCGUAGUCCGGAUUGCAGGCUGCAACUCGCCUGCAUGAAGUCGGAAUCGCUAGUAAUCGUGGAUCAGCAUGUCACGGUGAAUACGUUCCCGGGUCUUGUACACACCGCCCGUCACACCAUGGGAGCGGGUUCCGCCAGAAGUAGGUAGCCUAACCGCAAGGAGGGCGCUUACCACGGCGGGGUUCGUGACUGGGGUGAAGUCGUAACAAGGUAGCCGUAGGGGAACCUGCGGCUG
rnacentral:rRNA from 1 species